rnacentral:rRNA from 1 species
AUUGAACGCUGGCGGCAUGCCUUACACAUGCAAGUCGAACGGCAGCACGGGAGCAAUCCUGGUGGCGAGUGGCGAACGGGUGAGUAAUAUAUCGGAACGUGCCCAGUAGUGGGGGAUAACUGCUCGAAAGAGCAGCUAAUACCGCAUACGACCUGAGGGUGAAAGGGGGGGAUCGCAAGACCUCUCGCUAUUGGAGCGGCCGAUAUCAGAUUAGCUAGGUGGUGGGGUAAAGGCCUACCAAGGCAACGAUCUGUAGUUGGUCUGAGAGGACGACCCGCCACACUGGGACUGAGACACGGCCCAGACUCCUACGGGAGGCAGCAGUGGGGAAUUUUGGACAAUGGGCGCAAGCCUGAUCCAGCAAUGCCGCGUGCAGGAAGAAGGCCUUCGGGUUGUAAACUGCUUUUGUCAGGGAAGAAAUCCUCUAGGUUAAUACCCUUGGGGGGAUGACGGUACCUGAAGAAUAAGCACCGGCUAACUACGUGCCAGCCGCCGCCGUAAGAC